rnacentral:rRNA from 1 species
UACGAAGGGGGCUAGCGUUGCUCGGAAUCACUGGGCGUAAAGAGCGCGUAGGCGGCGUUUUAAGUCGGGGGUGAAAGCCUGUGGCUCAACCACAGAAUGGCCUUCGAUACUGGGACGCUUGAGUAUGGUAGAGGUUGGUGGAACUGCGAGUGUAGAGGUGAAAUUCGUAGAUAUUCGCAAGAACACCGGUGGCGAAGGCGGCCAACUGGACCAUUACUGACGCUGAGGCGCGAAAGCGUGGGGAGCAAACAGG